CAGUGAGGAAUAUUGCGCAAUGGGGGAAACCCUGACGCAGCGACGCCGCGUGGGUGAGGAAGGCUUUCGGGUCGUAAAGCUCUGUCAGAAGGGAAGAAAUGCUUAUAGGCUAAUAUCUUGUAAGUUUGACGGUACCUUCAAAGGAAGCACCGGCUAACUCCGUGCCAGCAGCCGCGGUAAUACGGAGGGUGCAAGCGUUGUUCGGAAUCACUGGGCGUAAAGGGCGCGUAGGCGGCUUGGCAAGUCAGAUGUGAAAGCCCACGGCUUAACCGUGGAAGUGCAUUUGAAACUGCUUGGCUUGAGUAUCAGAGGGGAAAGUGGAAUUCCCGGUGUAGAGGUGAAAUUCGUAGAUAUCGGGAGGAAUACCGGUGGCGAAGGCGACUUUCUGGCUGAAUACUGACGCUGAGGCGCGAAAGCGUGGGGAGCAAACAGGAUUAGAUACCCUGGUAGUCCACGCCGUAAACGAUGUCAACUAGGUGCAGGGGGUGUUGAUCCCCUCUGUGUCGCAGCUAACGCAUUAAGUUGACCGCCUGGGGAGUACGGUCGCAAGAUUAAAACUCAAAGGAAUUGACGG
rnacentral:rRNA from 1 species